UGUAAGUUGUAAUAGCAAUAUGAUUUUGACAGUUAAUAAAAUUUCCCCCUUCUCUCUUCUCUGUCUAAUGCUGCUUGAUAAAUCAAGCUUCGUAUCAGUUGUUUGGUAAAAUUUCACAAGACGGCACAAAGGAAGCACAAGAAUCAAGAAUAACCAUAAAAGAUGUAGUCAAGAGGCUUAACAAAAUCAAGAACACAUUUCUGAAAACAUAAAAUAGGUUUCAGAGAUAAACAAAUGUACUCCUACAAAAUCUCGAGAACAACUUAUUUCAUGGCGGCGGCCACUUGCUUCUCUUGGGAGUGAUUGAUACUCAAAACAAUAAGGCCAAGACCCUGGACCUCUCCAUCAUCUGAUUUAAACAAACGCGUUUCUAAUAGUGAAAUAACAACAAUUUCAAGAAUUAUUUGGUUCUUUUAUGAAUAGUGAAAUAAGAAUUUGAAUCAUCUUCCAAGUCUCUAUAGAUACGAUAUAUCUACACUUACCAUCUUGUAUUACUUGUACGACUAGGAGAGCUUAUUGGUCGGCUUAGUCCAAUUUUGUACUUUAUCGGUUUGAUUUAUUGGUUAUCGAUUUGUAAAUGUGUUACAACCAAACCAAUAAGAUAUUUGUUAUCAAUUCUCAGCUAAUCAAUUAACGGUCUUAAAUGGUUCUGUUUUUGUUUUUGAUUUAACCAAUAACAAAAUGUUGCUUUAAAGAAAAAAAUUAUACGACAAAUGUACGUCAUGAAUUAUCAGAAA